ACUCUCCAUCCUCUGACCCCACCUGCUCCUCGGGCGUAAACCCCCAUGACCCAUGCUGUGUUCAGAGCUGAGCCCCAUAUCUCCCUGCCCUGCUGUGAGACCCCAUUGCCGUGGUGGCUACACCUGCCCCAAUGGUCCUGAAUAGCUUGCCUUGGGGGUGUCAUGGGGCUUCUCCCACACUCACCACAUCGGCCACGUGCUCGAUGAAGAUCUGGCUGCCAAAUCGGAGCUUCUGAAGCAGCUCUCCUGGAACGUCGGUGCGCAGCCGCGGCUGCUGGGCCAUGAGCUGCUGCAGGCGCUUAUGCGGGAAGGCAUCUUCCGUGCAGAUGUAGACGGCUCCUGGGAAGCAAGAGUGCCUGAUGUGCCCAGGGGACUCCAGACGGGCCUGUGACUGCCACACAAAUCAAGUGCAGAUGUCUCCCGCCAUUUCUAACUCUCUGCCCCUCACAGGUUCUUUGCCCCUCGCCUGGGGAGGGAGGAGGCUGGUGCUGUUUCUCACCCUCCCACUGGCAGCCACCUUCGGGGCCAGGUGACCCCCUCAGGAGGAAUACGGGCUGGGUCUCCACUUCUGACACCCAAGCAAGGACUUCCCCUGUUCUGGGCCCUGGGCUGGAAUGGCCACAGAUGGGAGGCCUCUCCUGCUCCACCCUGCCCCUCCUUUCCCGUGACCCUCCGUUCCCCACUGCAGGGCAGGGAGCAAGUGGCAGCAUCAGGGCAACGCCUUCUGGAAAUGGCCCCUGAGCCCCAACACGUGGCCACCCUCAAGGCCCCCACUGAGCAAGUGUUUCCUCUCUUCAAAGCUCCUGCAAUCUGGGCUCCAUGGUGAAAUUCAAAAAGCCAGCUUGAAAAGACACGUGUUGGUGAGGAUGUGGAGAAGGCAGACCCCUGACCCCUGUGCGCUGCCGCUAGGAAUGUAAAAUGGUGCAGCUCGGAAAACAAUCGGUACUUCCUUAAAAAGUUAAACAAAUCACAUGACUCAGCAGCCCCACUCCUAGGGGAUGAUCGAACCUUAAAAGGGAAGGCAGUUCUGACACCUGCUCCAGCAUGGAUGAACCUCGAAAACACAAUGCCAGUGAAGGAAGCCUGUCACGAGACCACGUGCUGUCCGGUUGCACUUGCAUGGAGCUCCCAGGACAGGAAGAGCCAGAGGUAGGGAAAUGGGAGGCAGGCUGCUGGGGGUGGGGGCUGACUGCUCAUGGGUAGGGUUUCCUUUUGGGGUGAGGGAACUGUUCUGGAAUUGGAUAGUGGUGACGGGCACAGAACUUCGUGCUUCUAUUAAAAGCC
rnacentral:lncRNA from 1 species